rnacentral:lncRNA from 1 species
AAAUUUUCAUUUAAAUAAUCAAUUUAAUAUUAAAAACACUUGCUUAAAAUCUUAUUUACAUUCGAAUUUCCAAAACAUAGUUUCUUUUUCAUUAUAAUAGAAGACCAGGAUCCUCCAAAUCAUAACUCUUUCUUCGGUGUGUACAAUCGAACCGUUGCCAUCCCGCGUUACUGUAAGAACCUGAAACAACAUAACAUAAACAACGUAAGCACGAAGCUUAGUGAGUUCCCCAAUAUACCUUACGCACAUACGCCUUCCGGCCCGGAUCUUUCGAUCCACAUAAUAUCGCCUUCCGGCCCGGAUCUUUCGAUCCACAUAACUUUGCCUUCCGGCCCGGAUCUUUCGAUCCACAUAACAUCGCCUUCCGGCCCGACCUUCCGGUCCAUGUGUCUCAGGGGACUUCCGUCCCUGCUGGGUAAACCUUCCGGCCUUACCCACGCCGACCUUCCGGUCCAUCACACAUAUAUAACACAUAAUACAAAUACUCUAACACAUAAAGCACAUAUAUCAUAUAUCAUACCUGACCUUUCUGUCACAUAAUACAUUGCCUUCCGGCCCAUAUAUAAGCAUGUAUAUCACGCGUAGCAACUAACUUUCCAUUCAUAGCAUAUAAACAUAACACACAACAUACUUGACCUUCCGGUCACACAAUCAAACCCUUCCGGGUGAGGUAUAGUGAGAAGACUCACCUCGCGGACACUAGAAGAUAGCAACUCCUAAAAUCCCUUGCACUUGAUCCUCCGAGCUACAAGCUCCCUGUAACAUCAUAUAUCCCUUAUUUAAUACUUCUAUCUUCCACGUUAACUGACCCUAAGAAUCACACCA